rnacentral:rRNA from 1 species
AGAUUGAACGCUGGCGGAAUGCUUUACACAUGCAAGUCGAACGGCAGCACGGGGGCAACCCUGGUGGCGAGUGGCGCACGGGUGAGUAAUACAUCGGAACGUAUCCUAGAGUGGGGGAUAGCCCGGCGAAAGCCGGAUUAAUACCGCAUACGCUCGAAAGGGGAAAGUGGGGGAUCGUAAGACCUCACGCCCAAGGAGCGGCCGAUGCCGGAUUAGCUUGUUGGUGAGGUAAAAGCUCACCAAGGCGACGAUCCGUAGCUGGUCUGAGAGGACGACCAGCCACACUGGGACUGAGACACGGCCCAGACUCCUACGGGAGGCAGCAGUGGGAAUUUGGACAAUGGGGGAAACCCUGAUCCAGCCAUUCCGCGUGAGUGAAGAAGGCCUUCGGGUUGUAAGCUCUUUCGGCAGGAACGAACGGUUUGGCUAAUACCCAGACUACUGACGGUACUGAAGAAGAAGCACCGGACUAACUACGUGCCAGCACGCCGAC